GCCGAAGUGGUGGAAUUGGCAGACACGCACGACUCAAAAUCGUGUGAGCUACGCUCAUGAGGGUUCGACUCCCUCCUUCGGCACCA
rnacentral:tRNA from 1 species